ACAUUGAAAUUGCCAUGAAGCUGGUGAAGACAGAACUCCAAAGCUCAGAACACCCAUUGGAUCAACACUAUAGAAACCUGCAUUGUCAUCUGCACCCACUAGAAAAUGAAAGUUAUGAGUUCAAAGUGAUCUCCCAGUACCUGCAGUCUACCCAUGCUCCUACACACAGUGACUACACCAUGACCUUGCUGGAGGUUUUUGAAGUGGAAAAGGAGGGGGAGAAAGAAGCCUUCAGGGAGGAUCUGCAUAACAGGACGCUGCUGUGGCAUGAC